rnacentral:sRNA from 1 species
AGACAGAGGACACGAUCUUUCUCAGAGAGUACCAGACCCGACAGGACCAGUGCUUCUAUAACACCACCUACCUGAAUGUCCAGCGGGAAAAUGGGACCGUCUCCAGAUAUGUGGGAGGCCAAGAGCAUUUCGCUCACUUGCUGAUCCUCAGGGACACCAAGACCUACAUGCUUGCUUUUGAUGUGAACGAUGAGAAGAACUGGGGGCUGUCUGUCUAUGCUGACAAGCCAGAGACGACCAAGGAGCAACUGGGAGAGUUCUACGAAGCUCUCGACUGCUUGCGCAUUCCCAGGUCAGAAGUCAUGUACACCGAUUGGAAAAAGGUAAACACAAGGGAUUGGGCAGUGCCCACCUUGUCCAUGGCCCAACUCGGGCAGCCCCAGAGGCCCAGAGCAGGAGAGCUGCCAGGCAAGGCUGCACAG